AGCGGAGUCCUAUAUCUAUACUAAAAAUCAACUAGGGAGUGGAGACCCUAUGUUGGCAGAAGGUGACUAAGGAGUGGAGACCCUAUGUCUAAAAUAAUCUCAACUAGGGAGUGGAGACCUUAUGUUGGCAAAAGGCGACUAGUGAGUGGAGACCCUAUGUCUAAAUCUCAACUAGGGAGUGGAGACCCUAUAUUGGCAAAAGGCGACUAGGGAGUGGAGACCCUAUGUCUAAAAUAAUCUCAACUAGGGAGUGGAGACACUAUGUUGGCAAAAGGCGACUAGGGAGUGGAGACCCUAUGUUUCAAAUCUCAACUAGGGAGUGGAGACCCUAUAUUGGCAAAAGUCGACUAGGGAGUGGAGACCCUAUGUAUAAAAUAAUCUCAACU
rnacentral:lncRNA from 1 species